UCUUCACCACCCCGACCACAAACCUCCCCCGCCGUGCGCCCCACAUCCCCUCCCCCCCCCCCCCCCCCCCGCACCACCGACGGAGCCGGCCAGGGACUUGACCUCCCUCGCGUCAGAUCCAGCUGACCAUGACGGCUGUGGAUCCCCCUCCCCCUAUCCUGCCUUUCUCCUUGAUCGCCGCCCCACCCCACCCGGCUUCUUCCCCCGCCGGCGCCGCCCCACCAGCAUCUGGCAUCUUCCACCGCAGGCGCCCUGCACCAGUCGUCUCCCUCCCACCUUCUUCCACCUCAAGGAGACGGGAUCCGGGCCGGCAAAACGUGCCCCUGCGCGGCCACGACCAGCCCCAGCUGCGACAUCCCGGUACAUGGCGGCAUGCUGGGAGAUGGAUCGCGACGGAGCGGCGGUCGUCCAUGCCGUGGCGACGCGGGGUCGCGCUCCUCCUGGAGAUCAGCCCGGCCGGCGGCGCCGGCCAAACCUCUCCUAACCCCGGAUCCACACCUCCCCGGCGGGGAUCAGGUGGAGCGAGGCCGGGUCGAUGCGGGUGGUGCCUGCCUUGCACUGCAGAUCCCCACGGCGGUCCCUCCCCGCGUCGACGAGCACCAUGACUGCGAGAUCUCGCCUGGCCCUCCCUUCCUCUGCUUCCUCUGCUUGCCGUGUCCCCUUGCAGUACACUUUGUUGCUCCCUCGCAAGUCUCUCCCCCCCAAUCUGCAGAUCACCGGCAGCGCCCCAUUCCAUGUCGCAGUUUGUUUCGGUCGUCCACACCAUAGAUCAUGGAGCCAUGGUCCAUGCAGUCGAUUUUGCGAGCUGUUACAGUCAACCCCACGGGCACAGGAGGACCUUGGCGUGACCGGGCUAUGGUGGUAUCACGUCAGUAUGCUUACGGCGCUGCCGAUGCACGCAUAGGACCAGGUCGUUGCUGGAGCAGCCCACAUGAUGGGGGCACGCGGCCAUCGUUGACUCCACAAGCAGUACGCUUUGGGUACUAUGAGUUGUGCAAAAAGGCCAGCGACACGAUUGCAUUGGUAUUUUUGUUUUUGAGUUGAGUCAAAUACAGGAACCUAUGUGUCAAAAUUGAAAAUAGAUGUAGUUUGAUGCAAGCUCUCAUGUGGUUUACUUUGCAAAAGAAAAAACCAUAAACACUCGCAUGAAGUUCACUUAA